CUAACAAGGGUUAAGCAAAGUGAUCAACCUCGCCUCUUCAAGUUAUGGGGCACAGUUCUACCAUGGACGUCUAAGAAGCCCUAAAGGAUCAGUAAUUGACUGGACUUCACUACAGUAUUUAUUAUUAGUCUCAUUUGUAUGAUUUCAAUCUCUGAAUCAGGCAGAUCCAAUUCCUGCAAUCGGAUUGUAAUGCUGAAAUUAAGAAGCAAGAAGUAGUUGAAUUCACUUUUAACAGCCUCAAAUCAGGUUGUGGACCUUUCACAUUAUGGCCGCAGAAGAGUUCUGUUCUACUGUUGAUAUUCCUAGAAGGUUAAGGAACAGGAUCUAAAUAUGGUUGAAACGUAUAGGGGUGUGACAUUGUUUUCGUGACACCGACAGCUCGAACAAUAGAUAUUGCCAAUGCAUCGGUUAUGAGAAAUACAGUUACAUUGGUGGUCUCUCCAGUGACCUGUGGAAGCAUAGCCGAAAUGCUUAGGAAGUAUAUAUUUUUCGCUGAUAAGGUUGAAAUACAUGACAUCACCAAGGAAACAUGCUUGUUUGUACUAGUGGGACCUAACUCAUAAAAAGUAGGGGAUGUGAUGAAAUUUUCAUUGAUUGAAGUUUUUCCUUUCCUUUCCUUUCUUCUUCUUCUGUUUUUUUUUU